GCUUCUUUGGCUCAGUUGGCAGAGCGUCCGCCUAGUAAGCGGAAGGUCGUCAGUUCGAUUCUGGCAAGAAGCA
rnacentral:tRNA from 2 species